rnacentral:rRNA from 1 species
GGCCAGCAGCCGCGGUAAUACGUAGGGGGCGAGCGUUGUCCGAAUUCACUGGGCGUAAAGCGCGCGUAGGCGGACUUUUAAGUCAGGGGUGAAAUUCCGAGGCUCAACCUCGGAACUGCCUUUGAAACUGGAAGUCUUGAGGUUUGGAGAGGGAAGUGGAAUUCCUGGUGUAGCGGUGAAAUGCGUAGAUAUCAGGAGGAACACCCGUGGCGAAGGCGGCUUCCUGGCCAUAUCCUGACGCUGAGGUGCGAAAGCUAGGGGAGCGAACGGGAUUAGAUACCCCGGUAGUCCUAGCCGUAAACGAUGGAUACUAGGUGUUAGAGGUAUCGACCCCUCUAGUGCCGGAGCUAACGCAUUAAGUAUCCCGCCUGGGGAGUACGACCGCAAGGUUGAAACUUAAAGGAAUUGGCGGGGGA